UUUUCACCUCGAUAUAAUGGCUGCAUCAACAAUAUUUCAACAUGCCGAUGUAGAAAAUACGCGGUUAGAUGAACUUGAGAGAAACCGAAAUGAAAACAACAUUGUAAAACAAACAAAGUGGGUACUUACCUACUUCACUGACUGGUGGGCAGAACAAGGGAUAUGUGAGUCUAGGAAUACAACAAAAAUGGAGCUGAACAUCAUUCUACGGCACUUUCAUGGUUCAGUGAGAAACAUGAAUGGUGAAGAAUAAGUGGUGUAAAGUACUUAAGUAAAAAUAAUUUAAAGUACUACUUCAUUCGUUUUGGGGGGUAUCUGUACUUUACUAUUCAUAUUUUUGACAACUUUUACUUUCACUUCACUACAUUCCUAAAGAAAAUUAUGUACAUUUUACUCGAUACAUUUUCCCUGACACCCAAAAGUACUCGUUACAUUUUGAAGGCUUAGCAGGACAAAAAAUGGUUAAAUAAUUCACACACUUAUCAAGACUUUUACUUGAGUAAUUUUCUAUUACUGUAUCUUUACUUUUACUCAAGUAUGACAAUUGGGUACUUUUUCCACCACUGCGAAUAAUAUGGAAUUAGCAGCUACGCUAGACAUAUCAACGACCCCCCUCUCAGUUUGUCAUGGAGUAUUCAGAAGGACACCGAAUUCACAACGAGCAACAAUGUGUCUGUCGGCGUAAUUAAAAAGUUGAGUAAAGAGGGACACAACAAAGCUGCCCACCAGUGAAUGGAUACUGUACAUAUGGUACAUAAAAGAGACAAUGGGAGUGAACACCCUUGCAGCAAUGCUGCCAAUGAUCUGCAAAAUAGCUGUCCUGUCGCAGAUUUACACAAACUACUGCCUCGAACCACCAUGAUCCAGAAACGGUCGGAUGCUUGACUAGUGGCACGAUAAAUACUGUCUUUCAGAGGACACAGAUUGGAAACCUGUCUUCAAAGUUCCUGGAGACCAAAUCUGGAAGCGGUGGAGCACUAUUCUCUCUGACAACACAGCAGCAGCUCCCCAGCAAAAAAAAAACGGAAUCCAUUUCCAGCAGCGUAGAGCCCAAUAAACGACACCAUGAGCAAACCAACAACAAACAAUAACGUGGGACAAUUUUAAGAAAUGGCAACAUUCAACAUUAAUAAAUAGGUGGCAUGUGUUAGUCACUCUAGAAGUGGCGCUAAUGCUUGCUAGCUAGCCUGUGGUUAUGUUGCAUAGCAACUAGUCAAGCAACAAGACUUUUACCGGACUACUUUUUCUGGUGGAAUGUAUUCAUUGUCAAUGUAUUGAUUAAAGCUACAUUUUCAAUUUA